rnacentral:rRNA from 1 species
ACUUAAAGAAAAAGUUCCGGCUAAUACCCGUGCCAGCAGCCGCGGUAAUACGGGAGGAGCGAGCAUUAUUCGGAAUGAUUAGGCGUAAAGGGUUUGUAGGUGGUUUUUCAAGUUGAAAAAAACAGAUUAAAGCUCAACUUUAUAAAUUUUUUCAAAACUGAGAAACUUGAGUAUAAAUAGAGGAUAAUGGAAUUUCUAUUGGAGGGAUAAAAUACGUUGAUAAUAGAAGGAAGGCCUAAAGCGAAGGCAAUUAUCUGGGUAUAUACUGACACUGAGAAACGAAAGCUUGGGUAGCAAACGGGAUUAGAGACCCCGGUAGUCCAUGCUGUAAACGAUGAGUGCUCAUAUUUAGAAUUUUUAGAUAUUAAGCUAACGCGUUAAGCACUCCGCCUGAAAAGUAUAAUCGCAAGAUCGAAAUUCAAAGGAAUUGACGGGAGCCUACACAAGCGGUGGAGCAUGUGGUUUAAUUCGAUAAUACGCGCAGAACCUUACCAACUCUUGCAAAUUUUAUUAUAAAUUUUUAUAAUAAGAACAGGCGUUGCAUGGCUGUCGUCAGCUCGUGUUGUGAAAUGUUUGGUUAAAUCCUUUAACGAGCGCAACCCCUAUUAUUAGUUGCCACUUUAUUUGAAUUAAUAAAAGCACUCUAAUAAAAAUGUCAAUGAUAGGUUGAAGGAAGGUAGGGAUGACGUCAAGUCUUCAUGGCCCUUAUGAGUUGGGCUACACACGUGCUACAAUGAUAAUUACAAUAAGAAGCAAUAAUGAUUAGAAAAUUGGGAGCAAAUCUUUAAAAAUUAUCUCAGUUCGGAUUAUGGGGCUGCAACUCGCCCAUAUAAAGUUGGAAUCGCUAGUAAUCGC